rnacentral:rRNA from 1 species
AUUGAACGCUGGCGGAAUGCUUUACACAUGCAAGUCGAACGGCAGCACGGGGGCAACCCUGGUGGCGAGUGGCGAACGGGUGAGUAAUACAUCGGAACGUGCCCAGUCGUGGGGGAUAACGUAGCGAAAGCUACGCUAAUACCGCAUACGAACUCUGGUUGAAAGCGGGGGAUCGCAAGACCUCGCGCGAUUGGAGCGGCCGAUGGCAGAUUAGGUAGUUGGUGGGGUAAAGGCCUACCAAGCCGACGAUCUGUAGCUGGUCUGAGAGGACGACCAGCCACACUGGGACUGAGACACGGCCCAGACUCCUACGGGAGGCAGCAGUGGGGAAUUUUGGACAAUGGGCGCAAGCCUGAUCCAGCCAUUCCGCGUGCAGGAUGAAGGCCCUCGGGUUGUAAACUGCUUUUGUACGGAACGAAACGCGCCGGGUUAAUACCUCGGCGUAAUGACGGUACCGUAAGAAUAAGCACCGGCUAACUACGUGCCAGCAGCCGCGGUAAAAC